GGAAAGUCGUAUGUCUGUAUAAAAUAGUCCUUUCGCUCUGAGGGUGUGUGAAGUGAAAAACCCUAACUAGCCACAGAGUAUCCUCACUACGCUCACCCUGCCGCCCUCCUCUCUCUUCUCUCAGUUUCUUCACUUCUUCUCCCGAGUGAAGGUUCGGCUUGGGGUUUGGUUUUAGAGGUUUCCUCUCUUUUUCUCUCCCGCUGACCCAGUAUGGAUGGGAAAGGAUCCGCUUCAGCAAGUGGUAGUGCGCUACGGACUGUUGAUUUGAAUGUUCUACUUGGGAGGCGUACGCUGAAUAAGUUCUUAGAGACAGAGAAUUCCUUUGAUAAUAAUAAAAUCACUCCCAUUUAUCAGAGAAUUUUUAGGUCAGUUUAUUUUAUUUAUCAGAAAGGCAUGCGUAUAUAUUAUUAACUGUGUGUGUGGGUGUUUUUUUUAUACUCCAGAUCUCUCAUUGGGGCUAUUUCUGAACUCGAGUCAAGAGGGAUCACUCGUGGUUACCUCCAGCCCCAUCAAAUCAUGGUUGGUGGUGGCCCAGGCUUGGCCGUUACCUAGACCAGAGGAGGACAAUCCGACCGCGCCUACCUACAGAAAGGAGUUUGAUUCCCUAGUACGGAAGAUCCUUGGUGAACGAGACUUCUCGAACUUGGAGUUGAAUCAUUUUCUCCACAUCACAGCUUCUGCUGCUUCUGGACGACAGAGUUUGUAAGCAAAUUCAAUUUUAGGCAACUCCAAUGGCAUCCAAUACUGUUGUCAUCUGCUGAAUUGCCCCAGUUAGUAUACCAUCUGUUUCUUCAUCUCGACAUGAAGGGAACAUCAAGCUGGAAAGAGGACUUCAGACGGAUGAUACAGAGGGAUGUUGAGGUUAGGGGCACAGUGCUUGGGGUGGAUUACUUCUCAGAUGUUUACAACUU